rnacentral:rRNA from 1 species
UACGUAGGGUGCGAGCGUUAAUCGGAAUUACUGGGCGUAAAGCGUGCGCAGGCGGUGAGCUGUGUCCGAUGUGAAAGCCCCGGGCUUAACCUGGGAAUGGCAUUGGAAACUGGCUCGCUGGAGUGUGGCAGAGGGGGGUGGAAUUCCGGCGUGUAGCAGUGAAAUGCGUAGAGAUGCGGAGGAACACCGAUGGCGAAGGCAGCCCCCUGGGUCAAGAUUGACGCUCAUGCACGAAAGCGUGGGGAGCAAACAGG